GUUUAAGGAAUUUUCUUCCCUCUUCCCUGUGCUUUAAAUAGCUGCUGUGCCGGUCACUAGUGGCUGUGUGUGACGAAGUCUAGCUUAUGCCAGUAUAGAGUGGAAGAGCAACUUACUCUGCAGCAAAAGACUUGAUGACUUCUGACAAGCUCUUCUUAGGUCAUGUUCUGCAAGCUCUGUGCCUGCACUCUGUCUGGUUUCAUAGCUCAAGUAUAGCAUCGUGUACAGGUACAUCGUUUAUACUGUAACCUUUUCUCAUUUGGAGAUUGUGUUGAGGAUACGUCCUUGCAUGAACAGGGAGGAGCAAACCAUGGGAGGUGUGCUUUGUUUUGAGGACGCGUCUCUUAAGCUUCAGUGCAUCUCACGUGGGUCACGAGCAGUUGAUUAACACUUUGAGUUUUAGGGGGGAAAAAAAGGAUGUUUUAUAGGGUCUGAAGGUGGGGUUUAGAAGAUGGGCAUUCAUUUCUUUUAUUUUCUUUAAGUGAUAUUUAAGCAUAAAUAUACAGGUGAACUUAUCUCAGCCUCUGACUGCUGAGGGUACUUCCAGAGAAUUAAAAGCAUGGAAUGCUGUGUAUUCCUGUAAAAAGGCAUACUUCAGGAUCUUUGAACAUUAUGGCAGCACUGAAAAUGUGAAUCUCUAGAGGUGAGGUGAGUUUAAAAAAAAAAAAAAAAAGCUAAUGAACUCAUCUAACUUUCAGCUGCAUUUAUUCAGGUAUAAUCUUGCAGUUCUGAAUGCAUGUUGUAACGUUACUAAUUGGUGUAGUAAUGUCCCUAGUUCGUAUAAUACUGAAAGGGCAUUAUGCAAAUGUUGUGUAUAUCGUGAUUUUAUCCUGAAGUGCUUGACUGGAAUGGAGGAGAGAUGAAAAGAAGAAAGACAACAUGUGGUUAUUCCCAUUUAACAAGCUUAGUCUAAGAACAUGCGGAGUGGGAAUUGUUGUACAUGUGUUUCUUGUGCCAGUAUGCCUCAGAAAUCCACUUAAUUGCUAAAGUAAGCAUAACUAAGAUGGCAUUUCUUGCUUCUAGAAAUGAACGCUAGUGUACUAUUUGCUCAGUUUGCUUUUGUAGUGCCUUAGCGGUUUCUGAUUAGUUACAGCAGCACGUGAAACUGUUUCUGUCCUAAAUGCUCAGUUAUUGGAAGUCAAGUAAGAUAGGAGGCAGCCUUUUACCAGAGCUUCUGUUAAUGAAUGCUUAAUACCUCCUUUGGUAGGUAAACAGAGCGCAGAUCUUCUAUCAAAAUCAAAACUGCAUUAAUGCAGUCCUGCCGAACUGCGUGGCAAAGCAAGAGAUGAUGUGUUACAAGGCAGUAACCUGUCUGCACUGGUUUUGUGUGAUGUUGCUUGCAAAUCGGAGCUGCCAAGUUCUACUUCAUGUAUAUCUGUAUCUGCUGAAAGGUAGGCUUGUGUAAGAUACCAUGCUGAGCACUUCAUUUGAAGCCCACUGCUUGGAAAGAUCUGGGAACAGUAUGCUGCUUACCCAGAUGAUGUCACUGGUGAAGUCUUGUUCAAACAUCAAAUUGUGCCUGCCAAGGGUAAGGACUUUCUAAAUGCUGAGGCAGGCUUUAUCUGUAACAUGACAUGCAUAGAAACGGCAAAAAGGUCAAGGAAAUUCUGUCAUUAGUGAAGUCCUUAACUAACAACAGAGAGUUGAUUUUAGGUAUGCUCAUUAACAUCUAAGGCUUAGCACUGCCUUUGAUCACUGGCUUUCAAUACAGGUUGCUUGUUCUAUGGUUGCCUUUACCCACAGUGGGGAGUGCUCUACCACAUAGCAGAGGCGGGUGCUCACUGGGGAGGGUUUUGAGAACAAAGAUCAGGCUUUCUGCUGGAACAGCCCGUGAAAAAUGUAGAAGUAAUCAAAAAAGUAUUGAGUUUCCUACUGUACAACUCUAAGUCAAACAUGAGCAGGAGGAGUCCUGUGAUUACAGUGCAGCAAGGCCCAUGCAAGACCAUAGGAGAACUGGCUGGAGAGGAAAUAAGGGAGCAGUAAUGCAAAUGGGUUUACUGGGGAAGAGGAGUGGAUUCUGGGGACUGCAACAGAAACAAUUGUGCUGCUGGACUGACUACAGUUGUGCUGGAGAGCUGUUCUGAAUGAGCGUAGACAAUCAAAUGCUUCAUCAAAGCUGAAGUCCAGCUCCUAGGUGGAGGUCACAGUCAUCUUUGGAAGGUGUAACUCUCAGAUUUCCAAGUCUGGACCACGUGGGCUAAACUCGAAGAAAUUCAGAAAGUCUGAGAAGAGUCUUCAGCCUCUGAAGCUGUUCUAUGUGUAUGUGCCACCACGUGCUCAGUUUUCAAUGGAUGCAAUGGAUGUAAGUCAUGACUCAUCUGACACAAACCAGUAAUUUGCAUGCCAAAUUGAAAAACAGUGCCUGAAGACAAAUGCAUAGAGAACUGACCUCAGCCUAGAGAUCUGAUAAAGUAUGCUUAAAAAAACCCACACGUAUUCUUAGAAUCUCCCUGGAUUUUUGUGCUGCUGUUUCUGAGAUAGGUGGCUCCAGAUGACAGUUGGGUUACUGCUUUGCAAGACGUGUACUUCCAGUCUUACUGAAAUCCCAUUUCCCUAGAUAGUCUGUUUGUUCUGUUAUUUACAUUGCUGAUAACUCUUGAAUAGGCUUAAAACAGAAAAGCUGGUUUUGUAUCGAAUUAGGGCUUAAAAAAAUGCAGAUGUGAAGGAGGAGAUGAUACAAAACAUACAAUUUCUGAGGCCUUGGUGCAAAACUUGGAAAGAUAUUUAAAAGAAAACAUUCAUUUUCCAGGAUCCUAAUGAGGAGCAGUCUCCUCUAGAAUGACUACAUAUCUGGAAUUGUUUUGAAUUCUUUGACUGACUUUAACAGCUUCUUUGGAAUAAUGUUAAUGUAAGCUACUUUUAUGGUAAUCUUGGGUGAGUUAAAACCUGUAAUGCCAUCUGCCUUGACGGUUGAAUGGCGAAAUACAUACUCUCUUAAUGUUAUUAAAAGUCCACAGACUCAAGUCUGGUGAGACCAGAAUGGUAUGGAUUCCAACAACAACAACAACAAAGUGCUUUUCUUCAUUCUGUGUAUACCUUGGUGAGAUGGAAAGAAACGGACAUCUUUGCUCUUCCUCUGUGUAGUGUGGGGAUGUGGAGUAGAUUUGUGUAGGAACUGACUCCUCCAAGGACUACAUGUUUUCUUUUUCUUUUGCUCAGCUUGGAUCUUCAGCUGCUUUUGCCUGUGGACUGGUCACACAUACCUUAAGGAGCUGCCUUUGUUGGCCUUGAAUUUUCAAACCCCCUGGUUUUCAUAAAAUGUUAAGGGUUAUAGCGUAGCAGUAGGGCCCAGGGUGUAGAAGGGAGCGAAACGUUUCAGAGCAGGAGAGCUGGAGACUGUAGGCAUAGGAAAGAGCUGGAGUAUAGAGUAUUAGAGAAGGGGUGGCACUGAUAGCAGAGAGACCCUACUGUAAAGGUAGAUAUGGCUAAUAACACGUAGAGUACAAGGAAGGAUAAUAAAUCUGACAUCCUCAGCUUGUCUUUUUUUAAUGACAGUUUAAGCAUGGAAAACAGUAUAUUUUUUUUUUGCCAAAGGAGCAAAAAACUGGUCACUUCACAGGUGAGGCAGUAACUGUGAGCUGCCCUGUAGGAUCUGUUGGAAGAAAGCCGGAGAAAUGACAAAAGCAAGGAAGCGGCAUGGGAAUGAUGAGCAGGUCAGCACACUGGAGAAGCAAAAUGAGGACAGUAGACGGGAAGGUAGAAGAAACAGUGAAAGAGGAGGCUGCAGCUGAAAAGGGGGGAAUUGUAAAAGGACACAGAAUUGUGGAGGAAAGAUAGACAGAAACAUGAAAUAAUGAAAGACUGCAGGUAAGCAACUUGUUCUCUGUGCCAAUCCUUCCUCUCUUCCUCCUGGACACGGCAGAACAAAACAUACUAGCAUGCAGUGGAGCACAGCAAUGAAAAAAAUACACGCAAAAGAUGAACAGAUUGACUUUCCAAGUACUGUUGGUGUUCUUUAGUAAUGAUUUUUUUUUUUCCGGAUCAUUUCUUUCUAUAUCAUGUACAAAGAAAAGACUCACUUUGCUUACCUUAAUGCAUUGAUUCGAAUCAAAUUCUCACCAAGAGCAUGAGCAGGUGAUAAAUUCUCUUGCUUUCAACUGUUUUUUUUGGAGUGAAGUUUGUAAAAAAAAAAAAAUACCUUACGUUGCUGGACUGUUGUCUGGGAGCUUUUCUCCUGCACUGCCUGAAAUACUGAAGUAUGUCAGAGGCUGUGUUUCUGCACAGCUUUGUAUGAUUCAAAGCUAACAGGCAGACUGCUCUGCAGCAGUAAUAUGAAAGAUCCUGUGCGUGUAGGGAAGGUGGUUAUGUGACAAGAAAAUAUUGACAGUGUUUGGUUGCCUUGUUUAUAUCACUGGUUAACAGAAAAUAAGCACAGCAAGCAGUCAGAAAUGUUCCAUUUGGAUGUUAAAUGUGCACCUGGUGCAGAAGUGCCUCUACACGGCAGGAACCUGCAGGGCUUUGCACAGCUGUAAAGUUAAUGGACACUGAAUGCCUGGCUCUCCUUAACUAUUUCCACCUGCUUUGCCUGGCUCAUGCUCCUUUGAGUUCAGCUAAGCCAUCCUGAUUUGUAUUUGAUUAACUAAGAGGGAAUUAAGGCCCGUGUGUUUUCUCCCUUAAUCGUUUCUACAGUAUUCUGAGUUAACAUGAGAUAUUUGUUUGGGCAGUGUUUAUAUGUGAGGUUGGGAUGUCUCUCUGCUCCUCCUUCUUGUGUAUGUAGCCCCUGCUCGAAGCUAAUGAGUAACACUGGUAUAGCAGCCACAAACUCAUCAUGCAGAUUACUGUUUGAACCUGAGAUCAGUGCCAUGCUCUACAUCUUACUUCUCAUAUUCGCUGCUGGCGUUGUUACAGUAAUUAAUGGCACCCAGUCCUGAAAAAAAAAUGACCUCUCCUGUUCAUUAGGAAGUGAUUACCGUGAGGGGCUGCUAUUAAAUGAGCCGGCAUAGCUGCACUUAAUCAGACCAG
ensembl:lncRNA